rnacentral:rRNA from 1 species
AGCGAAAGCGUUAAGUAUUCCACCUGGGGAGUACGCCGGCAACGGUGAAACUCAAAGGAAUUGACGGGGGCCCGCACAAGCGGAGGAACAUGUGGUUUAAUUCGAUGAUACGCGAGGAACCUUACCCGGGCUUAAAUUGCAGAUGAAUUACGGUGAAAGCCGUAAGCCGCAAGGCAUCUGUGAAGGUGCUGCAUGGUUGUCGUCAGCUCGUGCCGUGAGGUGUCGGCUUAAGUGCCAUAACGAGCGCAACCCUUGUUGUCAGUUACUAACAGGUUUCGCUGAGGACUCUGACAAGACUGCCAUCGUAAGAUGUGAGGAAGGUGGGGAUGACGUCAAAUCAGCACGGCCCUUACGUCCGGGGCUACACACGUGUUACAAUGGGGGGUACAGAGGGCCGCUACCACGCGAGUGGAUGCCAAUCCCAAAAACCUCUCUCAGUUCGGACUGGAGUCUGCAACCCGACUCCACGAAGCUGGAUUCGCUAGUAAUCGCGCAUCAGCCACGGCGCGGUGAAUACGUUCCCGGGCCUUGUACACACCGCCCGUC